rnacentral:lncRNA from 1 species
CCCUUUUUGGAAUGGAGACAGCAGAGAGAAGCCUGACCAGACUUGGAACUGAAGCACCUUAAGGACAAAAGAAAGACUUGCUGAGCUCGCUCACAGACCUUCUAGAGCAGCGCUGGGCUCAUGGAUCUGGAGAUUAUGGACAGAAGAUAAUGUAGAUGUUAUAACCAGGCCAGCGUCCUGUGGUAAAGGGUGUCUUUAGAUCACUGUUUCGUCGGUAUAGGUAAAUGACAUGAAGAACAUCUUUAUAGGCAGGGGAUGAGAAUCUGAGAUGAAGAAAAGAGGCUCCCCUGAUGGACCAUUCUAAGCUACUGUCAGAAGCAGGAUCCAUAGAACUUAAGGACAUGAUUGCAACAAUUAUCAGACAUUGGCCUCUUAGGUCAUGGUGAUCUUUUAGUAUUUUGGCUUUCUGCUGUCCUUUCAUAAAGGAACCUCAUUUUUAGCUUCUAUUGAAGAUAUAAAAUCAUCUCAUAGUAUUUUCUCAUUACUAGGAGCUGUAAAUCACUUCAAAGCUGUCUUUCUCCUUGAUCAUUUGCAUAUCAAAGUAUUUCUCUUGAGUACGGUGAUCUCUCCCCCUGUGGUUUGCUGUGUACCAGUUCUCUCUGGAUCCUAGGGCCUAGGGAAGUGUGGAUUCCAAGUGACUGGUGUUUUUCUACAGUAGAGCUUUUUUGUUGGCUCUUACCUGGGAGGACAAUGGGGAAGGGCCAGGGCCAUCCUGUUCUUUGCUGGGUGUGACCUUUCCUGCUCUGCUUCAGGGUUCCAUGCUGAAACCACCUUUAGCCAUCAUCGAGUGGGACUCCUUUUUACAUUUUGGUGAUUUCAAUAUUGUUUUUGUAUGGGUUUUGAGUUUCAGUCCUAAAUCUGUGUGGUGUGACAGAGGGAACCUCUACACAAAGGCCUGCCAAUCUGCAACCUCUUCAUGCUGCCACUGGUUAGAUCAACAGUUCACUCUAGACACUGAACCUUGCCUGCAUGCGUGCUAGUGUCACCACCAACAUCAGUAUCACUGUGCACCAGCAUCAGCAUCACUGUGCACCAGCAUCAGCAUCACUGUGUAUCAGCAUCAGCAUCACUGUGCACCAGCAUCAGCAUCACUGUGCACCAGCAUCAGCAUCACUGUGUAUCAGCAUCAGCAUCACUGUGCACCAGCAUCAGCAUCACUGUGUACCAGCAUCAGCAUCACUGUGCACCAGCAUCAGCAUCACUGUGUACCAGCAUCAGCAUCACUGUGUACCAGCAUCAGCAUCACUGUGUAUCAGCAUCAGCAUCACUGUGCACCAGCAUCAGCAUCACUGUGCACCAGCAUCAGCAUCACUGUGUAUCAGCAUCAGCAUCACUGUGCACCAGCAUCAGCAUCACUGUGCACCAGCAUCAGCAUGACUGUGUACCAGCAUCAGCAUCACUGUGCACCAGCAUCAGUAUCACUGUGUACCAGCAUCAGCAUCACUGUGCACCAGCAUCAGUAUCACUGUGCACAGCUCAAUCUCCAUACGUCAAUCGCCAGAUCGGUCCAAAAGUGUCUUGUCUGUGUGUAUUUUCUCCCACUUUACCACUCCACUCUGGCUUAAGCCUUCCCACCUGCUACUGUGUACUGUGUGGUUGCUGGCUUUGGGAACUCCCAAACUUUCCCUCUGUAUUUCAUGUUUCUGUUGGCCUGACAAGUAUCUCUUUCUAAAAAAGUACUAGUUUAUUUUAUGUGAAUGAAUGUUUUGUCUGUGUAGCUGGUAUGUGCUUGGUGCCCAUGAAUCCCAGAAGAGGGUAUUGGAUCCUCUGGAAGUGGAGUUAGUUACAGAUGCUUGUGAGCCUUCAUGUGGGUUCUGGGAAUUGAACCCAGGUCUUUUGGAUCCCAGUGAUUUUAAUGGUCGAGCUAUCUUUCCAGCUCCUUCAGGGCCUGAGAGAGGUCCUAGAACCCCUAAAUUCCCCAGUGACUCCCCUUUGUUAUUCUGAGAAGUUUCAGCUUCAACUUGCCAUUCUGGGAAACACAGGACCCUAUAAUCCACCUGCCUUCCGGGAUGAACACAUGGCUUCACCCCUGAAGGCAGUGCUUAAGGCACUGCAUGAUUCUCCACUUCCAAACGUGAUCUGUAUUUUCUGCCCACCUACCUCUUUGCUUAGUCAUUCACUGUAUUAUUCCCUAUUCUGUGCUGAGCACGAGUGUGCUCUCUCUCUCUGUCUCCUUUCUUUUUGCUUUUUUUUUCUCAUCUUUCUUUUUUUUUUGUCAGUUUUAUGUAUCUUUGAAAAUUUUAUUGAAUGUAACCUUUUUAAGAGUCUUGGAUGCAAUGUCCUUUCUUUGAGCCUUGAAAUCUGAAUCAUCUCUUUAGUGUAUUGUGGCAAAUGACGGUGUUUCUCUGUGUAUUCCUAGCUGUCCUGGAACUCUUUUUGUAGAUCAGGCUGGCCUCGAACUCACAGAGAUUUGCCUGCCUCUGCCUCUCAAGUGCUGGGAUCAACAGCAUGUGCUACCACUGUCCAGGUCUUGAUUUCUUGAUUUCUUGAUUUAAAAGAAUGAGUCUCUGCAUAAGGCUUGCCUAGGCCAUCAGCUACAAGCUUCACUGGACAGUGUACAGACAGCAUAGAGUUGGCUUCAUACUAGGGAUUGAGCAUCUAUUGGUGGAAUAAAUACAUCAAUAUGUGGAA